rnacentral:rRNA from 1 species
GACGAACGCUGGCGGCGUGCCUAAUACAUGCAAGUCGAACGAACUCUGGUAUUGAUUGGUGCUUGCAUCAUGAUUUACAUUUGAGUGAGUGGCGAACUGGUGAGUAACACGUGGGAAACCUGCCCAGAAGCGGGGGAUAACACCUGGAAACAGAUGCUAAUACCGCAUAACAACUUGGACCGCAUGGUCCGAGCUUGAAAGAUGGCUUCGGCUAUCACUUUUGGAUGGUCCCGCGGCGUAUUAGCUAGAUGGUGGGGUAACGGCUCACCAUGGCAAUGAUACGUAGCCGACCUGAGAGGGUAAUCGGCCACAUUGGGACUGAGACACGGCCCAAACUCCUACGGGGGGCAGCAGUAGGGAAUCUUCCACAAUGGACGAAAGUCUGAUGGAGCAACGCCGCGUGAGUGAAGAAGGGUUUCGGCUCGUAAAACUCUGUUGUUAAAGAAGAACAUAUCUGAGAGUAACUGUUCAGGUAUUGACGGUAUUUAACCAGAAAGCCACGGCUAACUACGUGCCAGCAGCCGCGGUAAUACGUAGGUGGCAAGCGUUGUCCGGAUUUAUUGGGCGUAAAGCGAGCGCAGGCGGUUUUUUAAGUCUGAUGUGAAAGCCUUCGGCUCAACCGAAGAAGUGCAUCGGAAACUGGGAAACUUGAGUGCAGAAGAGGACAGUGGAACUCCAUGUGUAGCGGUGAAAUGCGUAGAUAUAUGGAAGAACACCAGUGGCGAAGGCGGCUGUCUGGUCUGUAACUGACGCUGAGGCUCGAAAGUAUGGGUAGCAAACAGGAUUAGAUACCCUGGUAGUCCAUACCGUAAACGAUGAAUGCUAAGUGUUGGAGGGUUUCCGCCCUUCAGUGCUGCAGCUAACGCAUUAAGCAUUCCGCCUGGGGAGUACGGCCGCAAGACUGAAACUCAAAGGAAUUGACGGGGGCCCGCACAAGCGGUGGAGCAUGUGGUUUAAUUCGAAGCUACGCGAAGAACCUUACCAGGUCUUGACAUACUAUGCAAAUCUAAGAGAUUAGACGUUCCCUUCGGGGACAUGGAUACAGGUGGUGCAUGGUUGUCGUCAGCUCGUGUCGUGAGAUGUUGGGUUAAGUCCCGCAACGAGCGCAACCCUUAUUAUCAGUUGCCAGCAUUAAGUUGGGCACUCUGGUGAGACUGCCGGUGACAAACCGGAGGAAGGUGGGGAUGACGUCAAAUCAUCAUGCCCCUUAUGACCUGGGCUACGCACGUGCUACAAUGGAUGGUACAACGAGUUGCGAACUCGCGAGAGUAAGCUAAUCUCUUAAAGCCAUUCUCAGUUCGGAUUGUAGGCUGCAACUCGCCUACAUGAAGUCGGAAUCGCUAGUAAUCGCGGAUCAGCAUGCCGCGGUGAAUACGUUCCCGGGCCUUGUACACACCGCCCGUCACACCAUGAGAGUUUGUAACACCCAAAGUCGGUGGGGUAACCUUUUAGGAACCAGCCGCCUAAGGUGGGACAGAUGAUUAGGGUG